rnacentral:misc_RNA from 1 species
AAGUUUUGUGGAAUUCAUUUCAAAAUCCAUCAAAUUUGUGUAGGACCAAUUCCUAGAAUUGAAUUCUAAUUUUCUUUCAAACUAAACACACAAAAACAAAAAAAUUUAAUUGAAUUCCACCAAAUUUUUUGGAAUGGAAUUGAACCAAACAAGCUUUAAUAGUGUUCUAUGUGCAAGUGAUGAGUGUUAAAGCCAUUGGAACUACACUAAAAUUGACAUUUGAAGGAA